rnacentral:rRNA from 1 species
GAUGAACGCUAGCGGGAGGCCUAACACAUGCAAGCCGAGCGGUAGAGUUUCUUCGGAAACUUGAGAGCGGCGCACGGGUGCGUAACACGUGUGCAACCUACCUUUAUCUGGGGGAUAGCCUUUCGAAAGGAAGAUUAAUACCCCAUAAUAUAAUGAUUGGCAUCAAUUAUUAUUGAAAACUCCGGUGGAUAGAGAUGGGCACGCGCAAGAUUAGAUAGUUGGUGAGGUAACGGCUCACCAAGUCAAUGAUCUUUAGGGGUCCUGAGAGGGAGAUCCCCCACACUGGUACUGAGACACGGACCAGACUCCUACGGGAGGCAGCAGUGAGGAAUAUUGGACAAUGGGUGAGAGCCUGAUCCAGCCAUCCCGCGUGAAGGAUGACGGCCCUAUGGAUUGUAAACUUCUUUUGUACAGGGAUAAACCUACCCUCGUGAGAGUAGCUGAAGGUACUGUACGAAUAAGCACCGGCUAACUCCGUG